rfam:Gloeobacter kilaueensis JS1, complete genome.
GCAAAGGUUUCAGACGAUGGAAAUCCUCGUUUACACCGAGGAUGUCGGGGGUUCGAGUCCCUCAUUGCC